UACGUAGGGUGCUAGCGUUGUCCGGAUUUAUUGGGCGUAAAGGGCGCGUAGGUGGCUUCUUAAGCGUGCGGUGAAAGCCUGGGGCUCAACCCCGGGUCGGCCGUGCGAACUGGGGGGCUGGAGCACUGUAGAGGCAGGCGGAAUUCCGGGUGUAGCGGUGGAAUGCGUAGAGAUCCGGAAGAACACCAGUGGCGAAGGCGACUUACUGGACACAUAUUGACGCUGAGGUGCGAAAGCGUGGGGAGCAAACAGG
rnacentral:rRNA from 1 species